UGCUGCUCUAAGAAGCCAAGUGAUGUGGCCUCCAGGAUGGCAGGGUAAUAGGGCUGUGAUAUAUCGAGUCAACCAACUGAAGUUUAAACUGGAUUUAAAAGCUCCAGUUGUGAAUAUCUUCUUCUUCCCUUGCAGUUCAAAGUAUAUCCCUACCCAAAAGGCAACCUAAGUUGUGAGCAAACAACUUUCUUCAUAAAAAUUUGGUGAAUACUUCUCUAACAAAUGGGCCAAGGAUGGAUGAAACGCAUAGAGAUUAACAAGGCCAGCUGAACAAAGGAACUAACAAUAUACUCUAUUUGGAAAUAGAUUUUAUUUUCCUUCUCCUCUCACCUGUUCUACCUGUUUUAGACCCAAAGGAACAGGUAAUGGAAGAUUUGCGCAGGAAAUAUCUGAUGAAACCUGUGACAACUCAGCCUCAUACAAAUGAAGAAUUGAAUUUGUACACUA